GAGUCUGUGGCACAAUGGUCGUGCGUCUGACUUAAAGUCAGAAGGUUGUGUGUUCGAUUCACACCAGAUUCA